rnacentral:rRNA from 1 species
UUCCGUAAGGGAACCUGCGGAAGGAUCAUGGUAAUGUAAUUUAGAUUGAACCAUAGGCGAAAGCCAGUGGUUCUUCUUUCAUAUCCAUAACACCUGUGCACUGUUGGAUGCUUGCAUCCACUUUUAAACUAAACAUUAUUGUAACAAAUGUAGUCUUAUUAUAACAUAAUAAAACUUUCAACAACGGAUCUCUUGGCUCUCGCAUCGAUGAAGAACGCAGCGAAAUGCGAUAAGUAAUGUGAAUUGCAGAAUUCAGUGAAUCAUCGAAUCUUUGAACGCACCUUGCGCUCCUUGGUAUUCCGAGGAGCAUGCCUGUUUGAGUGUCAUGAAACCCUCAAACCCAAGUUUUGGAUUUCGAUCCAUGCUUGAGUUUGGAUUUGGAUGUUUGCCGGUGAUGAACCGACUCAUCUUAAAAGUAUUAGCUUGGAUCUGUCUAUAUGACUGGUUUGACUUGGCAUAAUAAGUAUUUUGCUGAGGACAUCUUCGGAUGGCCAGGACCUAGACUACUGUCUGCUAACUAAACCAUCACUUUAAGUGCAUCUUUGGAUGUUACUCAUUGUGUAACUUUGACAUCUGGCCUCAAAUCAAGUAGGACUACCCGCUGAACUUAAGCAUAUCAAUAG